rnacentral:rRNA from 1 species
CACGCCCUAAACGAUGACGACUGGAUGUCGGAGGGGUCUGCCUUUCGGUGUCGUAGCUAACGCGUUAAGUCGUCCGCCUGGGGAGUACGGCCGCAAGGUUGAAGCUCAAAGGAAUUGACGGGGACCCGCACAAGCGGUGGAGCAUGUGGUUCAAUUCGAUGCAACGCGAAGAACCUUACCUGGCCUUGACAUCCGCGGAACUUGGCAGAAAUGCCUUGGUGCCUUCGGGAAUCGCGAGACAGGUGCUGCAUGGCUGUCGUCAGCUCGUGUCGUGAGAUGUUGGGUUAA